AUGAGCAAAUCCAAAUUUAUUUUAAUGUCAUGUAAUUUUCAAUGUGUUUAAAAACCUCAUAAGUUACUGGGAGCCCUAGUUUCCUGGGACAGCAUGCCAGAGGUACUGAAAUUUGUCACCUUUCUCUACAAACCCCCAGCAAUCCAAUCCAAGUCCAUAGCUUCAGAAAGCCAGGAGUUGUGUCUUCAGUCAGUCUAUCCUCUGGUUCUUGGUUUUUCUUUCAAGGGAGGGAGAUCACAAUAUUUCAAACAGGGAACAAAACCAGUCCUCAGCGAUAGUUUGCUCCUGCUGCUCGUCCUCGCCCGACAUCUUCCUACUACCACCACUGCAGCCUCGUUUCCCCUGAGCCGCCGCCGCCUCUGUCUCCCUUCCCAGCCACAGGCUGUGGUCAGAGUCCCCUCGAUCCUCGAGGAGAGGGCGAGCCAAAGCGCGA
rnacentral:antisense_RNA from 1 species